rnacentral:rRNA from 1 species
AUUGAACGCUGGCGGCAGGCCUAACACAUGCAAGUCGAACGGUAGCACAGAGGAGCUUGCUCCUUGGGUGACGAGUGGCGGACGGGUGAGUAAUGUCUGGGAAACUGCCCGAUGGAGGGGGAUAACUACUGGAAACGGUAGCUAAUACCGCAUAACGUCGCAAGACCAAAGAGGGGGACCUUCGGGCCUCUUGCCAUCGGAUGUGCCCAGAUGGGAUUAGCUAGUAGGUGGGGUAACGGCUCACCUAGGCGACGAUCCCUAGCUGGUCUGAGAGGAUGACCAGCCACACUGGAACUGAGACACGGUCCAGACUCCUACGGGAGGCAGCAGUGGGGAAUAUUGCACAAUGGGCGCAAGCCUGAUGCAGCCAUGCCGCGUGUAUGAAGAAGGCCUUCGGGUUGUAAAGUACUUUCAGCGAGGAGGAAGGCGUUGUGGUUAAUAACCGCAACGAUUGACGUUACUCGCAGAAGAAGCACCGGCUAACUCCG